rnacentral:rRNA from 1 species
UACUGAUUAUCUUGAGUUAUUAUGAAGUAGUUAGAAUAUGUAGUGUAGCGGUGAAAUGCAUAGAUAUUACAUAGAAUACCAAUUGCGAAGGCAGAUUACUAAUAAUCAACUGACACUGAUGGACGAAAGCGUGGGUAGCGAACAGGAUUAGAUACCCUGGUAGUCCACGCCGUAAACGAUGGUUACUAGCUGUUUGGACCUUGUGUCUGAGUGGCUAAGCGAAAGUGAUAAGUAACCCACCUGGGGAGUACGUUCGCAAGAAUGAAACUCAAAGGAAUUGACGGGGGCCCGCACAAGCGGUGGAGCAUGUGGUUUAAUUCGAUGAUACGCGAGGAACCUUACCAGGGCUUAAAUGUAAGUUGCAUUAGUUAGAGAUAGCUAUUUCUUCGGACCACUUACAAGGUGCUGCAUGGUUGUCGUCAGCUCGUGCCGUGAAGUGUCAGGUUAAGUCCUAUAACGAGCGCAACCCCUGUUGUUAGUUGCCAGCGAUUCAAGUCGGGAACUCUAACAAGACUGCCAGUGCAAACUGUGAGGAAGGUGGGGAUGACGUCAAAUCAUCACGGCCCUUACGUCCUGGGCUACACACGUGCUACAAUGGUAGGGACAGAGAGCAGCCACUACGCGAGUAGGAGCGAAUCUAUAAACCCUAUCACAGUUUCGGAUC